rnacentral:snRNA from 1 species
AGUUCCCUGGAAAGGGGCGCCAGAGAGGGU